AUCACUGUGGAUAUUGUUUCUGGAAGUUCCUUACUCUGACCCCUCUGCUAGGGAAUGCAUGGACUUCUGGUCCCAGAGGGUGUCUGCCGCUGAUAUUUUGCACAUCAUUACUAAAAUGGUUUUAAAAACAACAAGCAUGACAAACUCUGGGCUAGGGUACCCUUCAAUCAUUGAUCUUCUGAUUGAUUCAUGACUUAACAUGUAUUUACUGAGAACCUACAAUAAUGCCAGCAUCCUUAAGUGGCUCUUUGAGAAACACUACCUUGAACCAAAGGAGCAUCUUUUAAAUAAGGGAUAUACCUGUAUAUAGAGCAAGCUUAUUGCCUAAUUCAAAAAGUUCCCGAGAUGAAGCUCUAUACAAUUUUCUGUUCUCCCUAGUUUCUGCCAUACUAUUGCAUGUACAAUAAAUCCAGA